rnacentral:rRNA from 1 species
AUAAACGCUGGCGGCGCACAUAAGACAUGCAAGUCGAACGAACUUAACCAUUAGUUUACUAUUGGAGCGGUUAGUGGCGGACUGGUGAGUAACACGUAAGCAACCUGCCUAUCAGAGGGGAACAACAGUUAGAAAUGACUGCUAAUACCGCAUAUGCCUUGAGUAUCACAUGGUACAAAAGGGAAAGGAGCAAUCCGCUGAUAGAUGGGCUUGCGUCUGAUUAGAUAGUUGGUGAGGUAACGGCCCACCAAGUCGACGAUCAGUAGCCGGACUGAGAGGUUGAACGGCCACAUUGGGACUGAGAUACGGCCCAGACUCCUACGGGAGGCAGCAGUCGGGAAUAUUGCGCAAUGGAGGAAACUCUGACGCAGUGACGCCGCGUGCAGGAAGAAGGUUUUCGGAUUGUAAACUGCUUUAGACAGGGAAGAAACAAGACAGUACCUGUAGAAUAAGCUCCGGCUAACUACGUGCCAGCAGCCGCGGUAAUACGUAGGGAGCAAGCGUUAUCCGGAUUUAUUGGGUGUAAAGGGUGCGUAGACGGGAAAUUAAGUUAGUUGUGAAAUCCCUCGGCUUAACUGAGGAACUGCAACUAAAACUGAUUUUCUUGAGUGCUGGAGAGGAAAGUGGAAUUCCUAGUGUAGCGGUGAAAUGCGUAGAUAUUAGGAGGAACACCAGUGGCGAAGGCGACUUUCUGGACAGUAACUGACGUUGAGGCACGAAAGUGUGGGGAGCAAACAGGAUUAGAUACCCUGGUAGUCCACACCGUAAACGAUGGAUACUAGGUGUAGGGUGUGAUAAACAUUCUGUGCCGUCGCAAACGCAGUAAGUAUCCCACCUGGGGAGUACGGCCGCAAGGUUGAAACUCAAAGGAAUUGACGGGGGCCCGCACAAGCGGAGGAACAUGUGGUUUAAUUCGAUGAUACGCGAGGAACCUUACCCGGGCUUGAACUGCAGGAGAACGAUUCAGAGAUGAUGAGGUCCUUCGGGACUCCUGUGGAGGUGCUGCAUGGUUGUCGUCAGCUCGUGUCGUGAGAUGUUGGGUUAAGUCCCGCAACGAGCGCAACCCCUGUUCUUAGUUACCAGCGAGUUAAGUCGGGAACUCUAAGAAGACUGCCGGUGAUAAAUCGGAGGAAGGUGGGGACGACGUCAAAUCAUCAUGCCCUUUAUGUCCUGGGCUACACACGUACUACAAUGGCUGUAACAAAGGGAAGCUAAGCCGCGAGGUGGAGCAAAACCCAAAAAAGCAGUCUCAGUUCGGAUUGAAGGCUGAAAUUCGCCUUCAUGAAGCCGGAAUUGCUAGUAAUGGCAGGUCAGCAUACUGCCGUGAAUACGUUCCCGGGCCUUGUACACACCGCCCGUCACACCAUGAGAGUUGGGAAUACCCGAAGCCUGUGAGCUAACUUUUAGAGGCAGCAGUCGAAGGUAGAAUCAAUGAUUGGGGUG